rnacentral:rRNA from 1 species
AACGACUCUUGCGAGAGGCAUUGACGGUACUGUAUGAAUAAGCACCGGCUAACUCCGUGCCAGCAGCCGCGGUAAUACGGAGGGUGCAAGCGUUGUCCGGAUUUAUUGGGUUUAAAGGGUGCGCAGGUGGUUUAUUAAGUCAGUGGUGAAAGACGGUCGCUCAACGAUUGCAGUGCCAUUGAAACUAGUAGACUUGAGUAAAGUAGAGGUGGGCGGAAUUGAUAGUGUAGCGGUGAAAUGCAUAGAUAUUAUCAAGAACUCCAAUUGCGUAGGCAGCUCACUUGGCUUUUACUGACACUCAUGCACGAAAGUGUGGGUAUCAAACAGGAUUAGAUACCCUGGUAGUCCACACUGUAAACGAUGAUAACUAGGUGUCGGCCGAAUCUGGUCGGUGCCACAGCGAAAGCGUUAAGUUAUCCACCUGGGGAGUACGCCGGCAACGGUGAAACUCAAG